rnacentral:rRNA from 1 species
UACGUAGGUGGCAAGCGUUGUCCGGAAUUAUUGGGCGUAAAGCGCGCGCAGGCGGUCCUUUAAGUCUGAUGUGAAAGCCCACGGCUCAACCGUGGAGGGUCAUUGGAAACUGGGGGACUUGAGUACAGAAGAGAAGAGUGGAAUUCCACGUGUAGCGGUGAAAUGCGUAGAGAUGUGGAGGAACACCAGUGGCGAAGGCGACUAUCUGGACGGUUUCUGACGCUAAGACGCGAAAGCGUGGGGAGCAAACAGG